CCUACGGGUGGCUGCAGUGGGGAAUAUUGGACAAUGGGCGAAAGCCUGAUCCAGCCAUGCCGCGUGUGUGAAGAAGGCCUUUGGGUUGUAAAGCACUUUCAGUGGGGAAGAAAGCCUUGGGGCUAAUACCCUCGAGGAAGGACAUCACCCACAGAAGAAGCACCGGCUAACUCCGUGCCAGCAGCCGCGGUAAUACGGAGGGUGCGAGCGUUAAUCGGAAUUACUGGGCGUAAAGCGCGCGUAGGCGGUCUGAUAAGCCGGUUGUGAAAGCCCCGGGCUCAACCUGGGAACGGCAUCCGGAACUGUCAGGCUAGAGUGCAGGAGAGGAAGGUAGAAUUCCCGGUGUAGCGGUGAAAUGCGUAGAGAUCGGGAGGAAUACCAGUGGCGAAGGCGGCCUUCUGGACUGACACUGACGCUGAGGUGCGAAAGCGUGGGUAGCAAACAGGAUUAGAUACCCCGGUAGUC
rnacentral:rRNA from 1 species